rnacentral:lncRNA from 1 species
ACUUUAUCUCUGUGGUCUUUCUUCCCAAAUACAUAAUCCCAAUGUAACCAUGAGAAAAUAAUCAGACAAUCUCUAAUAGAGGGACACUCUACAAAAUAGCUAACCAGUGCUCUUCAAAGCUGUCAAAGCCAUCAAAACCAAGAAAAGUCUGAAAAAUGAUCACAACCAAGAGGAGCCUAAUGAGAUAUGAUGACUAAGUGGAAUGUGGUGUCCUGGAUAGGAUCCUAGAACAGAAAGACAACAUUGGGUAACAAGAGUCCAAUCUUUAACUGCAACCAAAUAGCAACUAUAACAAUGAGCACAGACAACUGCAAAAACACCAAGCAAUGAGAAGAAUAUGA